UUCUUCUCCCUUUUCUCUUUGAUCUAGAACUCUAAGAAGCCCCAAACACCCAACCAAAUUUUUUUGAUAUUUUUAUCUAAAUUAUCAUAUUAAAAAUUAGAUCUAAUUUAAUUUUAAUCCUAAAAAAAUAAAAAAAAUCUAAAAGAAAAACUUCUUCUUCUUCAAGGCUGCACAUAAGAAAGACCCAUCUUCUUCCUUCU
rnacentral:lncRNA from 1 species